rnacentral:SRP_RNA from 1 species
GGAGUCCGGCGGCGGACGAACCGCUCGCCAACCCGGUCAGGUCCGGAAGGAAGCAGCCGUAACGAAUCCGGUUCGGGUUGUUGCCGGGCUCCCAC